GACAGAGGGUGCAAACGUUGUUCGGAUUUACUGGGUGUAAAGCGCGUGUAGGCGGCUUGGCAAGUUGGAUGUGAAAGCCCACGGCUCAACCGUGGAAGCGCAUCCAAAACUGCUUCGCUCGAGUCUCGGAGAGGAAGGUGGAAUGCUUGGUGUAGAGGUGAAAUUCGUAGAUAUCAAGCAGAACACCUGCGGCGAAGGCGGCCUUCUGGACGAUGACUGACGCUGAGACGCGAAAGCGUGGGGAGCAAACAGG
rnacentral:rRNA from 1 species